CUCCCAGUGACACAACGGGUCAAUGGGUCUGGUUGUUAACCAGAAGGUUGGUGGUUCAAGCCCACCCAGGGAUG